CGGCAAGGGCUGCCCCACUCACUGAUCUUCUUAAGAAGAAUAAGGCAUGGGAAUGGGAUGGAAGGUGCCAACAAGCCUUUGAGGAUCUAAAGAAGGCUGUGACUGAGGAGCCAGUGUUGGUACUACCCGACCACACCAAGGUCUUUGAGGUACACACAGAUGCCUCAGACUUCGCUAUUGGGGGAGUCCUUAUGCAAGAGAGGCACCCAAUCGCAUUUGAGAGUCGCAAGCUAAACGACGCGGAGAGGCGUUACACGGUGCAAGAAAAAGAGAUGACUGCUAUCGUCCACUGCUUACGCACCUGGAGGCACUAUCUACUAGGGUCUCACUUCAUAGUGAAGACCGACAAUGUGGCCACUAGCUACUUCCAGACUCAGAAGAAGCUGAGUCCUAAACAAGCUAGGUGGCAAGACUUCUUGGCCGAGUUCGACUAUACGCUGGAGUAUAAGCCAGGAAGUGCUAACCAUGUGGCCGACGCCCUAAGUCGCAAAGCCGAGCUAGCGUCCAUGACGAGUCAGCCCCAAGGAGAUAUAGUGAGUCUUCUAAGGGAGGGACUGCAACAUGAUCCAGUGGCUAAGAGCCUUAUCGCCCUGGCUCAUGAAGGAAAAACUAAGCGGUUUUGGGUGGAGGACGGCCUACUCUAUACAAAGGGGAGACGACUCUACGUGCCUAAGUGGGGGAACAUAAGGAGGAACCUGAUUAAAGAGUGCCACGACACCAAGUGGGCGGGGCACCCUGGGCAACGACGCACUAGGGCACUACUCGAGUCGGCUUACUAUUGGCCUCAGAUACGGGACGAGGUUGAGGCCUAUGUGAGGACUUGUCUUGUGUGCCAACAAGACAAGGUGGAACAGCGACAACCUAGAGGCCUGUUAGAGCCACUACCGGUAGCAGAACGCCCAUGGGACAGCGUCACCAUGGACUUCAUCAUCGGGCUACCUAAGUCAGAGGACAGCGGCUCUAUCAUAGUGGUGGUGGACAGGUUCUCUAAGUAUGCAACCUUCAUAGCAGCCCCGACUGACUGCACGGCGGAAGAGACGGCGAGGCUAUUCCUAAAGCACGUAGUCAAGUAUUGGGGGUUGCCUAAGUUCAUCAUCAGUGAUCGCGACCCACGCUUCACUGGGAAGUUUUGGACGGAGCUCUUCAAGCUUAUGGGUUCGGAGCUUCACUUCUCCACCAGCUUUCACCCACAGACAGAUGGGCAGACUGAAAGGGUGAACGCCUUGCUGGAGCUAUACUUGAGGCACUUUGUGAGUGCCAACCAGAGGGAUUGGGCUAAGUUGCUAGAUAUAGCCCAGUUCUCAUACAACUUGCAAAAGAGUGAGGCGACCAACAAGAGCCCGUUCGAGUUAGCCACAGGGCAGCAACCCUUAACUCCUCACACGCUAACGAUAGGCUACACGGGGAGAAGUCCAGCGGCUUUCAAGUUCGCGAAGGGGUGGCAUGAGCAAGCUGACAUAGCCCGCUCAUACUUAGACAAGGCCGCUAAGAAAAUGAAGAAGUGGGCUGACAAGAAGCGACGACACAUAGAGUACAAGGUCGGAGACAUGGUGCUUGUCAAGCUCCUUCCUCAACAAUUCAAGUCCCUAAGGCCGGUGCAUAAGGGCCUUGUGAGGAAGUAUGAAGGACCCUUCCCCAUACUUGGGAAGGUUGGCAAGGUGUCCUAUAAAGUCGAGCUGCCCCCGAGGUUGAAGAUCCAUCCUGUCUUCCACGCAAGCUACUUAAAGCCCUAUCACGGAGACAAGGACGAUCCAAGCCGAGGGUUGUCUAAGAGGGCACCUACAGCGGUUGUGACCUCCUAUGACAAGGAGGUAGAACACGUCCUCGCAGACCGGGUCAUCAGGAGACGAGGGGUACCUCCUGCUACGGAAUACUUAGUGAAAUGGAAAGGACUACCAGAAAGUGAGGCUAGCUGGGAGCCAGCAGAGGCACUAUGGCAGUUCCAGGAACAGAUCGAGCGGUUCCGGGCAGAAGGCGCGACGAGGACGUCUGCGGCAUAGGUGGGGGAGAGUGUCACAAGUUGAUCCAAAUGAGCCUCCCCAUGGCCUUAUAUAGGGCCAGGAAGCUUCUGGAGACUCCUAGAAUGGGAAGAGUGUGGAAGGUUCUAGAGAAGUCUGGAGGAGUCCACACAAU
rnacentral:lncRNA from 1 species